rnacentral:rRNA from 1 species
CCGGCGACCGGCGGACAGGUGCGUAACGCGUAUGUAACCUACCUUUGACAGGGGGAUAACAUCGAGAAAUUGGUACUAAUACCCCAUAACAUCACCGGAGGCAUCUUCGGUGGUUGAAAACUCAGGUGGUCAGAGAUGGACAUGCGUUGUAUUAGCUAGUUGGUGAGGUAACGGCUCACCAAGGCGACGAUACAUAGGGGGACUGAGAGGUCAACCCCCCACAUUGGUACUGAGACACGGACCAAACUCCUACGGGAGGCAGCAG